rnacentral:rRNA from 1 species
CCUACGGGUGGCAGCAGUGGGGAAUAUUGGGCAAUGGUCGCGAGCCUGAACCAGCCAAGUAGCGUGAAGGAUGACUGCCCUACGUGUUGUAAACCUCUUUUAUAAAGGCAUAAAGUGAGGCACGUGUGCCUUUUUGUAUGUACUUUAUGAAUAAGGAUCGGCUAACUCCGUGCCAGCAGCCGCGGUAAUACGGAGGAUCCGAUCGUUAUCCGGAUUUAUUGGGUUUAAAGGGUGCGUAGAUGGGUGGUUAAGUCAGUUGUGAAAGUUUGCGGCUCAACCGUAAAAUUGCAAUUGAUACUGGCAGUCUUGAGUACAGGUGAGGUAGGAGGAAUUCGUGGUGUAGCGGUGAAAUGCUUAGAUAUCACGAAGAACUCCGAUUGCGAAGGCAGCAUACUAAACUGCCACUGACAUUGAUGCUCGAAAGUGUGGGUAUCAAACAGGAUUAGAUACCCGAGUAGUC